rnacentral:rRNA from 1 species
CGGACGGGGGAGUAAUGUCUGGGAAACGGCCCGAUGGAGGGGGAUAACUACUGGAAACGGUAGCUAAUACCGCAUAACGUCGCAAGACCAAAGAGGGGGACCUUCGGGCCUCUUGCCAUCGGAUGUGCCCAGAUGGGAUUAGCUAGUAGGUGGGGUAACGGCUCACCUAGGCGACGAUCCCUAGCUGGUCUGAGAGGAUGACCAGCCACACUGGAACUGAGACACGGUCCAG